rnacentral:lncRNA from 1 species
AAAAAAGGGGGAUUUAUGAAACUUUGGUGAAUAUAUUAAUGUAACAUCCCUUUUGAUUUGUAUAUAUAUUUCUAGUUGAUCAUAUAAAUUCAUUUAAAGCAUAAAAGACAAGUUAAAAGAGCAACGGGCGUAUCAUGCGCUAAAGUGCAGCCCUUUAUUAAAAAAUGCCAAAGUUUAAGUAAUUCUGACAAUUGGUGUGAAACAAUGGAAAAACGUUUUAUUGGGGGAAAAGUAACAAUUAUAUCCUCACCAGUUGAUAUUUCUUGUUAUCAAUUAUUUCAUAUUGUUUGAAUCGGUGCGAUGUGGAGCUUCACACAUUAUAUAGUUACCUGGCUAUUGUCGAAGAUAAUAUGUUUCCCUCUUCCGGGUAAGUGUUUUGUUCGGUUGAUGUGUCGUUGGUAUAUACCACAAACUUUUAAAUAGAAUUAUUUGUUAGUUAAUGAUUCAAGAAAUAAAGUCUCAAACUAACAAUAUGAAUAGGAAGAUGUAGUUUGAGUAAAAAUGAGACAUCAUUCCAUCAAAGUCAUUAUGUAUUACAAAAAGUUUAUAGUUAUAGGUAAAGUUACGGCUUUCAACACGGCGCGAACAGCAACCUAUUAAGGAAUCACAAAUAAUAAGUGCAAAACAAUUCAAAUAGGAAUCUAUAUAAAACACUAAAAACGAGAGGCACCUAUGAAACAAAUAUGUUAUAUAUAUGUUUUGUGUUCCCUUAUGAAUAUAAGAUUGUUGUUCAGUACAUUUAGGCCAAUUCAAGAUUGAUGAGCGUGUGUGUCGAAAAAUUAAAUAAUCUUCAUAAUAAAGAUACAUAUUUUUGCAAUAGAUUGUGCUGCACAUCAAACUGUAAUGUUACAUUAAGAAUCCAUGUCCAUUUUCUCCAUCUUAGCUAUAAAAACAAAAAAAUGAAGUUAAAAGUUAUUCAUUUUUAUAUAUUAAUUAUCUGUUCCUUCAGACCAAACAGUUCAUUCCUUGUAGUUAUUGUGCUCAUAACAAGUCAUUACCCUGCCACAUUCUGUAUGUGCCUUUUUUAGGCCUGUAAAAAUAAAUUAAAAAAAAUGACGAACUUCAAAACGGAAAGUUCCUUAUCAAAUGACAAAAUCAAAAGCUCAAACACAUCAAACGAAUGGAAACAUUUUUCAUUAUCCUACAUGGAAUAUGCAUUUCUUUGUGAGGAAAAUUGUGGAUUAAAUCUGGUUUUAUAGCUAGCUAAACCAGACUCGUGUAUGCGAGUCGCAUAAAAUUCCAUUCUAUUGAAAUAAAUAUGUUAAAAAAGCAGGCAUAACAGGUAAAACUGUCAAAAAAACUCGUCAUAGAUGCCAGACACGCGUUUCGUCUAUAAAAGACUCAUCAGUGACGCUGAAAUCUAAAAAAAAAAAGACAAAAAGGCAAAAUAAAGCAACAUAGGGUAGGAUACAACAGUCAACAUUGUAUUAUAAUCACUUUAAAAACAAAUAAAUAUGUUAACAAUGAAAAAUAAAAUGGCGAAUAGACAAAGCAUAACACAAAUACACAUUGACGGAAUGUAAAAUUACCGAGCAACGGCAAAGAGAAAAUACCAAAAAAUGACUCCACAGUAAAGGUAUUUAUUUACAAAGAGAAAAAAGAACUCUAAUACACUUGACUAAGAUCAUAAACAACAAUUAAUAAUACAUUAGUUGUCGUUUUUUGCUACGAAUCAUGUUUAUGUUUCGUUCAUUAUUUUAUAUAUAAAUUAGACCGUUAGUUUCUCAUUUAAAUGGUUUUGAAGUUGUCAUUUUUGGCCUGUUAUAGAUGACUGUGCGGUAUGCGCUCAAUGAAUUGGCAAUUUAUUUCUGAUAAAGUAUUAUCAUACCAAAAAGCUGGAUUUUCAAACAAUCAAAAAUGAUUUGUAAUUUUACCGGUUUUUGAGCUUUUCAAGAUUGUAACAUUUUUACUGAGUGUGAAUUUACACGGUGGAUGAUAUAUGUAUAAUAGGAGAUUCUCAUCCUGUCGACGUUUCCGGUAUCGCGCCUAUUAAGGUUCUAGUCAUUCCAUGUUCUUGUUAACUUGAUUUGAUUUGUAUUAUUGAUAAACUGAUGUCGCCUGAAUUUGAACAAUAUUUGAAAUUUCCAGAUGGCAUCGUGCAGUAUUACGUUUGUCUCAAAUGUUACAAAGUUUUUUAUAAUUUGCAAUUAAUUAUGUAUAACCAAAUUAUGUUCAUACCGUA